AUGCCUGUUUCCAUGGUUACUGCAGCAAGGGGGAGAGGUGCUUGUCAGGGACCAAUUUACCUCUCCAGACAAGCACUGGCAGCGGAGGGAGGGCAGGGGACCCACAGCCUCAGCUCAAGCCAGGGUAGAGCCACAAGCAAGACAACAUUCUGUGGAGAGCUAAAGGCCAUCAGAGUACCUGCAGUCACCAGGCGCACACCAGUGCUUCCGACCUCCUAUGAAACUCUGGCAGCAUUUCAACCCUGCUUCUACCCAAGAAUAUUGGCAUGGAUGCAAGACAGACACACAACCCGACGGACUGGUACGGCCAUAGGCUGUGGACGCUUCCCCACUGAGCCCACACUGCAGGGCUACAAGGAUGACUGUGCCUGUGACUUCACUGAGGGUCAGUCUGUACUUCAGAGACUGCAGCGUCCUCACCUGCAUCUUCAUCUAUUCCCAUUCUAGUUAAUUCUUCCCAUUUUCUCUUACAAUCAAACAGAAAAAACAUCUUCACUCAUUGCCAACUCCUUCCAGGUGCGGCUCUCCUCCUUCCCUCCAUGACCAAGUCUCCCAAGAGCGACUGAUCCCUGCCUGCUUCCUGAGCUCACCCUUCACAGACUCCUCCCAGCCUCAAGAGCCUCUCCGGUCCAGAAAACACGGGUUGUCCUUUCACAGCCCACCCGGUGCCCCUGUAGAGAGGACCUCCUAGACUAGUGCUCUUUUCACCAUCGUUUCUCUUCAGAAAGGCCUUGCCGGAAAUAAACUGCCCUCACCGCCUGCCUUACAGUUAAGUAUCCCACAGGAAAUAUACCAGGAAAGUGUUCUCUACAAUUCUUAAUUGCACAUCUAGUUGUUUAUUUGUUCUUUAAGAAUUUUAAAAUGUGACUUCUCCUGGACCUGAAGCUCCAUGUUGGAAGGGUAGCACAGUAACAAUAAACGCAGGCUGCUGGGAGGUGCUCGGUCUCACAGGGGCGCUAAGAUUCAGAGAAGAGGUUCAGUAAAUAGUGCUGGAUACGUGCUUGGGCUUACUCAGUGAACCGCACUGGCUCAGUUCUCAUGUGGGAACCUGGCAAACAUUCUCAAUAUUCCCUUUCCCUUUCCCCAGCCCAAGGACCGGGAGUUUAGAGAGAUAAAGAGACUACCAGGCGGCAGGGCCUCGGGCCACUUGGGCCCCAGUCAGAACACGGGUUUCUGAUUCCAGGGCGGGAAGUCCUUAGACGCUGUGGGCCAGUCUGAGGACAGCUGACUUGGGUUGUAAAACUGGAAUGUCUAAGGAGACAGGCAUCAGUCACCUACCGAUACUUUGCAAAGUGUGUGUGUGUGGUAUUUUUUGGUACCAGGGAUCAAACUUGGGACCUUGUGCUUGCGAGGCAGGCGCUGGAACCACUGAGCUAAAUCCCUGGCCCUACUUUGCAAAGUAAAACAAAAUAAAAUCUCAGCGCUUCCGUCACACUAGUCACAUUUCAGUCCGCACCAGUGGCACGUAGCCAGAGGCUGCUCUUUUCUAGCACAGAUCAGAACAUCCCACCCUGCAGAGAGCUCUUCUGGACAGUGCUGCGUGGACAGGUUCAUUAGGUCUGUCCAGGGGAAACUUGCAGACACCAAGGAGCAAGACUAAUAGCCCAGGAGUUCUGGUAAGAAAUGCGGAAGAAAUGUGGUGAUGCAGGCUAGCAUGUCAGAAGUAAAGGUUGCAAGAAGUGAUAUCUGGAUAUAUUUUUAAAAUACAGCAGAUAAAACUUGACAGAUUAAAUGUAAAGAGAGGGGGUGUAGGGAGAGAGGGGUCAGGGUUUAAAGACUACUUAACUGAAGGAAGAAUAGAAAGCUGGAAGGACACCCAUAAACACGAGAGAGAGAUGUCUAUGAAGAAGGUAUGAGGAUUCAGGAUGGUGAGUAUGGUUGGAGAUAAUAAAACAAAACCAUGUAGACCAAUGUCUUUAGCAUGCAUACAUGAACUGAGAAGUAGGAUGAGCCACCAAGUGGAACUCUAAAUCCUUUGAUCUUAGUCACUUUCCUGUCCUUGGGACAAAAUACCUGAUAACCACAACUUAAAGGAAGAGAUUUAUUUGACUCAGUUUCCAGGGGGUUCAGUCCAUGGUUGGCUGGCUCCAUGGCAGAAACAGCAUGGUGGAAAGGCCUGGUGGAAGACAUCUGCUCACUCAUGGUAGCCAGGAAUUAAAUGUAAAGAGAGGGGGUGUAGGGAGAGAGGGGUCAGGGUUUAAAGACUACUUAACUGAAGGAAGAAUAGAAAGCUGGAAGGACACCCAUAAACACGAGAGAGAGAUGUCUACGAAGAAGGUAUGAGGAUUCAGGAUGGUGAGUAUGGUUGGAGAUAAUAAAACAAAACCAUGUAGACCAAUGUCUUUAGCAUGCAUACAUGAACUGAGAAGUAGGAUGAGCCACCAAGUGGAACUCUAAAUCCUUUGAUCUUAGUCACUUUCCUGUCCUUGGGACAAAAUACCUGAUAACCACAACUUAAAGGAAGAGAUUUAUUUGGCUCAGUUUCCAGGGGGUUCAGUCCAUGGUUGGCUGGCUCCAUGGCAGAAACAGCAUGGUGGAAAGGCCUGGUGGAAGACAUCUGCUCACUCAUGGUAGCCAGGAAGCAGAAAGAGAAGGGAGAGCCCAGGACAAGAACACAUCCUUCCACCUCACAUCCCAGUGACGCCUUCAACUAGGCCCCACUCUUAACAACUGUGAACUCAUCUAAUCCCAAUCCAUCCA
rnacentral:lncRNA from 1 species